rnacentral:lncRNA from 1 species
UACAUUUCCUAACUGUCCUACAAAGAAGAAGGUUGAAAGGAAUUUGGAUGGACACAUUACUGAGAUAGUUUAUAAGGGAAACCAUAAUCAUCCAAAGCCUCAGUCCACUAAAAGAUCGUCUUCACAAUCGAUUCAAAACCUUGCUUACUCCAACUUGGAUAUAACAUUAUAAGGGGAGCCAUAAUCAUCCAAAGCCUCAGUCCACUAAAAGAUCGUCUUCACAAUCGAUUCAAAACCUUGCUUACUCCAGCUUGGAUAUAACAAAUCAGCCAAACGCGUUUCUUGAUAAUGCUCAAAGAGAUUCCUUUGCUGGGACAGACAAUUCUUCGGCUUCUUUUGGUGACGAGGAUGUUGAUCAAGGGUCUCCUAUCAGUAAGUCAGG